rnacentral:rRNA from 1 species
CCUACGGGGGGCUGCAGUGGGGAAUAUUGGACAAUGGGGGGAACCCUGAUCCAGCCAUGCCGCGUGUGUGAAGAAGGCCCUCGGGUUGUAAAGCACUUUCAGUGAGGAAGAACGCCUGGUGGUUAAUACCCAUCAGGAAAGACAUCACUCACAGAAGAAGCACCGGCUAACUCCGUGCCAGCAGCCGCGGUAAUACGGAGGGUGCGAGCGUUAAUCGGAAUUACUGGGCGUAAAGCGCGCGUAGGUGGCUUGAUAAGCCGGUUGUGAAAGCCCCGGGCUCAACCUGGGAACGGCAUCCGGAACUGUCAAGCUAGAGUGCAGGAGAGGAAGGUAGAAUUCCCGGUGUAGCGGGGAAAUGCGUAGAGAUCGGGAGGAAUACCAGUGGCGAAGGCGGCCUUCUGGACUGACACUGACACUGAGGUGCGAAAGCGUGGGUAGCAAACAGGAUUAGAUACCCUUGUAGUC